UACGGAGGGUGCAAGCGUUAUCCGGAUUCACUGGGUUUAAAGGGUGCGUAGGAGGGCAGGUAAGUCAGUGGUGAAAUCUUCGAGCUUAACUCGGAAACUGCCGUUGAUACUAUCUGUCUUGAAUACCGUGGAGGUGAGCGGAAUAUGUCAUGUAGCGGUGAGAUGCUUAGAUAUGACAUAGAACACCAAUUGCGAAGGCAGCUCGCUACACGAAUAUUGACUCUGAGGCACGAAAGCGUGGGGAUCAAACAGG
rnacentral:rRNA from 1 species